rnacentral:sRNA from 1 species
UUCUUACCAUCUUGCCUUAAGCUCAAUCCUCUACU